rnacentral:rRNA from 1 species
CAAUAGCGUAUAUUAAAGUUGUUGCGGUUAAAAAGCUCGUAGUUGGAUUUCUGCUGAGGACGACCGGUCCGCCCUCUGGGUGAGCAUCUGGCUCGGCCUUGGCAUCUUCUUGGGGAACGUAGCUGCACUUGACUGUGUGGUGCGGUAUCCAGGACUUUUACUUUGAGGAAAUUAGAGUGUUUCAAGCAGGCGCACGCCUUGAAUACAUUAGCAUGGAAUAAUAAGAUAGGACCUCGGUUCUAUUUUGUUGGUUUCUAGAGCUGAGGUAAUGAUUAAUAGGGAUAGUUGGGGGCAUUCGUAUUUAACUGUCAGAGGUGAAAUCCUUGGAUUUGUUAAAGACGGACUACUGCGAAAGCAUUUGCCAAGGAUGUUUUCAUUGA